GGAUGCGAUCAUACCAGCACUAAAGCACCGGAUCCCAUCAGAACUCCGAAGUUAAGCGUGCUUGGCGAGAGUAGUACUAGGAUCGGUGACCUCCUGGGAAGUCCUCGUGUUGCAUUCC
rnacentral:rRNA from 1 species